rnacentral:rRNA from 1 species
AACGAACGCUGGCGGCAGGCCUAACACAUGCAGGUCGAGCGGACCCUUCGGGGUUAGCGGCGGACGGGUGAGUAACGCGUGGGAAUAUGCCCUUCUCUGCGGAAUAGCCUCGGGAAACUGAGAGUAAUACCGCAUACGCCCUUUGGGGGAAAGAUUUAUCGGGGAAGGAUUAGCCCGCGUUGGAUUAGGUAGUUGGUGGGGUAAUGGCCUACCAAGCCGACGAUCCAUAGCUGGUUUGAGAGGAUGAUCAGCCACACUGGGACUGAGACACGGCCCAGACUCCUACGGGAGGCAGCAGUGGGGAAUCUUAGACAAUGAGGGCAACCCUGAUCUAGCCAUGCCGCGUGAGUGAUGAAGGCCUUAGGGUUGUAAAGCUCUUUCAGCUGGGAAGAUAAUGACGGUACCAGCAGAAGAAGCCCCGGCUAACUCCGUGCCAGCCGCCGCCGUAA